UCAACAUAGGGUGGAUUCUUUUGAUAAAGGGAUCCCUUCAUACUCUGCUUGGCUCUCCCCCCAACCACCUUGGCCAGGGCAGGAGAUGCUCAGCUCUCCCUCAGGUGACCAGUGCCUGCUGUGGAGAGGUCAUGCAGAGCCAAGGUGGAGCAGUUUUUCCCUCAGCUGGACGUCAGUGUCAUAGGCUGUUUCCAAAUGUUUCCUGACCCAUUUGGUGCCCACUCUGAGUUCCUGAAUUCAGAUUUUCAUUGUCCCUGUUUUGAGUAAUUCACUCAGGAUAUUAAGCCUUCAGCUCUGAGUGGAAAGGAGGAUUCAAAGGGAGACACACUCCUCUGGUAGUGGGGCCAUCUGGGAGGGCUACAGUGGAAAAAUCAGGAUUUCAGAGAGACCUGGAAAGAAGACAAUCCCUUGUGCUAGAGGCUUUCUUCAAAUAAUGUUAUUUCAAAUCCAGAAUGAAGCUGUAAACAACAAAAAAAAUGUUUUUUGCAUAAUGUAAUAGUUUACAUUAUUGUUCAGAAAAUUUUUACUUUUAUCCCCCUUCCACUGGAAAUGGAAUACACUAUCUCUUCCUAAUGACUUUGGACUUAGCCAUGUGAUUGCACUUUGCCAAUGGGAUAUUUGCGGCUAUAAGAAAAAAUAUCUGGAAAAAUGAACAUAAAACCCAUCUGAAAAAUUACAUGUCAUCUUAAUCCUAAAAGAAACUUUACGUGGAAAGAAAGUAGCAUACAUGAAUUAUUUUAAUCCAAUGGUUGUGAUUUAUCCCUGCUACUAAACAUUAUGUGACUUAAAAAUCAUUUAAUAAUUUUUAAUAUAGGAUAACUUCAUUGUAUAUGUGAGGAAGAGAAUAGGGAGAAAAGGGGGAAAAAAAACAGAACAGUAAGAAGAUCAGAACCCAAAAUUCUUGCAGAGUGAGAAGAACUUGUGGU